rnacentral:rRNA from 1 species
AGAGUUUGAUCCUGGCUCAGGACGAACGCUGGCGGCGCGCCUAACACAUGCAAGUCGAACGGAGCUGAGAGGAGCUUGCUUUUCUUAGCUUAGUGGCGAACGGGUGAGUAACGCGUGAGUAACCUGCCCUGGAGUGGGGGACAACAGUUGGAAACGACUGCUAAUACCGCAUAAGCCCACGAUCCGGCAUCGGAUUGAGGGAAAAGGAUUUAUUCGCUUCAGGAUGGACUCGCGUCCAAUUAGCUAGUUGGUGAGGUAACGGCCCACCAAGGCGACGAUUGGUAGCCGGACUGAGAGGUUGAACGGCCACAUUGGGACUGAGACACGGCCCAGACUCCUACGGGAGGCAGCAGUGGGGGAUAUUGCACAAUGGGGGAAACCCUGAUGCAGCGACGCCGCGUGGAGGAAGAAGGUUUUCGGAUUGUAAACUCCUGUCGUUAGGGACGAUAAUGACGGUACCUAACAAGAAAGCACCGGCUAACUACGUGCCAGCAGCCGCGGUAAAACGUAGGGUGCAAGCGUUGUCCGGAAUUACUGGGUGUAAAGGGAGCGCAGGCGGACCGGCAAGUUGGAAGUGAAAACUAUGGGCUCAACCCAUAAAUUGCUUUCAAAACUGCUGGCCUUGAGUAGUGCAGAGGUAGGUGGAAUUCCCGGUGUAGCGGUGGAAUGCGUAGAUAUCGGGAGGAACACCAGUGGCGAAGGCGACCUACUGGGCACCAACUGACGCUGAGGCUCGAAAGCAUGGGUAGCAAACAGGAUUAGAUACCCUGGUAGUCCAUGCCGUAAACGAUGAUUACUAGGUGUUGGAGGAUUGACCCCUUCAGUGCCGCAGUUAACACAAUAAGUAAUCCACCUGGGGAGUACGACCGCAAGGUUGAAACUCAAAGGAAUUGACGGGGGCCCGCACAAGCAGUGGA